rnacentral:rRNA from 1 species
UACGAAAGGUGCAAGCGUUACUCGGAAUCACUGGGCGUAAAGCGCACGUAGGCGGACUCGUAGGUCAGUUGUGAAAUACCUGGGCUCAACCCGGGAACUGCAGCUGAAACCGCUUGUCUUGAAUACCUGAGAGGGUGGGGGAAUGACCUGGUGGAGAAGUGAAAUUCGUAGAGAUCGAGGUGGAACACCGGAGGCGAAGGCGCCUGCCUGGCAGUGUAUUGACGGUGAGGUGACGAAAGUGCGGGGAGCAAACAGG